rnacentral:rRNA from 1 species
AGGACGAACGCUGGCGGCGUGCUUAACACAUGCAAGUCGAGCGGAAAGGCCCUUCGGGGUACUCGAGCGGCGAACGGGUGAGUACCACGUGAGCAACCUGCCCCGAAGACUGGGACAACACCGGGAAACCGGUGCUAAUACCGGAUAUCCCUAUCGGAUCGCAUGAUCUGAUAGGGAAAUGGAUUCCGCUUCGGGAGGGGCUCGCGGCCUAUCAGCUAGUUGGUGAGGUAAUAGCUCACCAAGGCAUCGACGGGUAGCUGGUCUGAGAGGACGAUCAGCCACACUGGGACUGAGACACGGCCCAGACUCCUACGGGAGGCAGCAGUGGGGAAUCUUGCGCAAUGGGCGAAAGCCUGACGCAGCAACGCCGCGUGGAGGACGAAUGCUUUCUGAGUUGUAAACUCCUUUCAGCAGGGACGAUUGUGACGGUACCUGCAGAAGAAGCACCGGCAACUACGCGCCAGCAGCCGCGGU